rnacentral:rRNA from 1 species
AUGGAGUACGUCCGGGCAGCAAACACCACCAGCCUCCUGCCCUCUGCUCUGUCGGAUUCCUGGUUAGUUAGCACUCUUUUUCGCCUGCAGGAACUCAAGAUGGAGCUUGCAAUAUCUGCAGUAACAGGUGAACUCGUGAGCCGAUUCGUCUCCUACCUCGCAGACAAGUAUCGCUCGAGCCACCGUCCACAGUCGGGAGAGAAGCAGCUGAGGAGGCUGCAGCAACUCCUCCUCAGAGCCCGCACGGUCGUCGAGGAGGCGGAUGGGCGGUACAUCACCAACUCCGGGAUGCUGGCGCAGCUCACCAUGCUCGCGGACGCCAUGUACCGAGGCUACUGGGCGCUAGGGGCCUUCGGGUACAUGUCACUUGAAGAGACAGAGACUAGUCCCAUGGAGGAGGAGGUUAGCAGCUCAUUUCCCCGCAAACGUCUUCGCACGGUUCAUGGCAGGGCUAAGAAGAACAAGGCCAUGUACCUUGCUGACCUGCAAGGUGUGGUGGAGAGCUUGGAGGACGUUGUCGAUGGUUUGACGGAGUUUGUUGUUCUUUUGGGUGGAUGCGACCGUAUGCUACGUCGACCAUAUGAUGCGUAUCUUUACAAUGACACAAUCAUGUUCGGACGCCACACCGAGAAGCAAAAGCUCCUGAACUUCAUGCUGCAGCACAGUUCAAGCUCGCCUGGUGGUACGCCGUCUGUUCUCCCGAUCAUCGGUGCUCCUGCGGUCGGGAAGAGGACUCUGGUCGCCCAUGUAUGCAAGGACGAGAGGGUCAGCUCACAUUUCUCUUCGAUUCUGCACCUGAAUGGAGACUCCUUCCGCCGAAUCGCAGACCAUGAUCGGAGCUUCUUGCCAGGGAAGAUACUGGUGGUUAUUGAGCUUGUCGCAGACGUCAACGAGAAGGACUGGGCCGAGUUCUGCUCAACCUUGUCAAGCAUGGACAGUGGAAGCAAGGUGAUCAUCAUCAGCCGGCUUAGAAGUACAGAGCAAUUCGGAACAGUGCGGCCGAUCUUCCUCAACACCCUGUCAUGCGAGGAGUUCAGCUACCUCUUCAAGACACUCGCAUUCGGGAGCGCAAACCCGGCGCAUCACCCGCAGCUGGCACGGAUCGCAGACGAAUUGGCCGAGGAGUUCCGGACGGAAUGUUCGCUCGUCGGCACAAACAUAUUCGCGGAUGUGAUGAGGAGGAAUCUGAACGUCCAUUUCUGGUUCGGCAUGCUGAGCAGGCUGAGAAGAUUUGCUGAGAGGAACGUCUCCAUGUUUGGGGAACACCCGAGGUUGCUCGUCGAGAGACGCCAUCAGAUAGACGUUACGGACUUCGUCUUGCAUCCUGCUGCUUCUCCGCUCCGCAUCGUGCCUUCCUGCACCAGUGGCAGCAGCCGCACUGAGGUUACAGCGGAGAGGGCAUCGCUGCCGAGGGUGAGGCUUGGGGAUCUUGUGAUGGAUCCUGGAGUCCGACCGCAAGGGGAUUUCAAUGUGGUUUCCUGGGAAUCAAGGUUGCCUCCUUACACCUCAUUUGUUCAUUUCGUUCCAAAUGGAAAUGGUGCUCCAGGUUUGGAGAAGCAGAGUACUCCCCUGUCUGGGAGGAAGCGUCCAGCAGUUGCUUUGUAA